CCUACGGGGGGCUGCAGUGGGGAAUAUUGGACAAUGGGGGAAACCCUGAUCCAGCAAUGCCGCGUGUGUGAAGAAGGCCUGCGGGUUGUAAAGCACUUUCGGUUGGGAAGAAAAGUUUGGCGCCAAUACCGCCGAACCUUGACGUUACUGACAGAAGAAGCACCGGCUAACUCUGUGCCAGCAGCCGCGGUAAUACAGAGGGUGCAAGCGUUAAACAGAAUCAGUAGGCGUAAAGGGUACUCAGGUGUGCAAUCCCCGGGCUUAACCUGGGAACUGCAUUCGAUACUACAUGGCUAGAGUAUGGUAGAGGGAAGUGGAAUUUCCGGUGUAGCGGUGAAAUGCGUAGAUAUCGGAAGGAACACCAGUGGCGAAGGCAGCUUCCUGGACUAAUACUGACACUGAGGCACGAAAGCGUGGGUAGCAAACAGGAUUAGAUACCCUAGUAGUC
rnacentral:rRNA from 1 species